rnacentral:rRNA from 1 species
CGAGGAAUUUUGCGCAAUGGGCGAAAGCCUGACGCAGCAACGCCGCGUGGGUGAGGAAGGCCUUCGGGUCGUAAAGCCCUUUUGUCGGGGACGACAGCGACGGUACCCGACGAAGAAGCCACGGCUAACUACGUGCCAGCAGCCGCGGUAAUACGUAGGUGGCGAGCGUUGUCCGGAUUUAUUGGGCGUAAAGCGCGCGCAGGUGGUUGCUUAAGUCCGCUGUGAAAUCUCCCGGCUCAACUGGGAGGGUGCGGUGGAGACUGGGCGACUGGAGGGACCGAGAGGCCGGUGGAAUUCCCGGUGUAGUGGUGAAAUGCGUAGAGAUCGGGAGGAACACCAGUGGCGAAGGCGGCCGGCUGGGGGUACCCUGACGCUGAGGCGCGAAAGCGUGGGGAGCGAACCGGAUUAGAUACCCGCGUAGUCC